rnacentral:rRNA from 1 species
UACGUAGGGUGCGAGCGUUGCCCGGAUUUAUUGGGCGUAAAGGGCGCGUAGGCGGCUCGGCACGUCCGUUGUGAAAUCGCUCGGCUCAACUGGGCGAGGUCAGCGGAUACGGCAGAGCUUGAGCAAGCUAGGGGGCAAUGGAAUUCCCGGUGUAGUGGUGGAAUGCGUAGAUAUCGGGAGGAACACCAGUGGCGAAGGCGGUUGCCUGGGGCUUUGCUGACGCUGAUGCGCGAAAGCGUGGGGAGCGAUCCGG